GUGAAUCAUCGAAUCUUUGAACGCACCUUGCACUCAAUCUCGGUUGAGUAUGCCUGUCUGAGAAUCUUUAGAUUUCUUUACCCUUUGGGGUGAGAUUUGAGCUCUUUCAUUAAUAGUGAAUGGCUUUAAAUGCAGUGCUUUGUUUUUAACGUCAUAUUGUGACUCACCAAAGUGUAUGAAGGGUACGCCCACUUCCUUUAGUGUUAACAAUAGUUAAUAGCAAUGCCCAACGAAACCUUGGUUUCAAUAGGUUAGUUUACUAACUUGAACUUUGGUCUCAGAUCAGGUAGGAAGACCCGC
rnacentral:misc_RNA from 1 species